AUGGGUCAAAAUAUAAAAUUUUACUACUCUUUCUGUCCAUUUUCGACACCUCCAUCAAGCUUCUCUAAUUUUCUACAUCUAAUUAAGGGUCUAGAAGAAAUGGCAAGUGAGGCACCAAGUUGGGCUGAUCAAUGGGGCGCUGGUGGUUUUGGUGCAAUGGAAGAUGACAACACAAAAACUCAAAAUGAUGCAAAGGUUAAGAAUUCAGGUGGUAAGGGUGGUUUAAGCAAAGUCAAAGAAACUGCAUCAAACUGUGUCAAGUGGUUCAAAAGUUUGUGCAAGAGAAAGACACCAACUAAGCAACUGGGUUAA